rnacentral:rRNA from 1 species
AAUAAAUAAAAAGAAAAAGUCUCCGAAUGAUAAAGAAUGGCCAUGCGUACCUUAACUAUUGGGAAAGGAACGGCUCACCAAGGCGACAAGAAUCUAGUGUUUCAAAAGAGAUAUUCCCCCACACUGGUAAUAAGACACGGCCCCAGACUCCUACGGGAGGCAGCAGUGAGGAAUAUUGGUCAAUGGGCGCAAGCAUGAACCAGCCAUCCCGCGUGAAGGAUGAAGGUCCUAUGGAUUGUAAACUUCUUUUAUACACCAAGAAAAACUCGAACGUGUUCGAGCCCGACGGUAGUGUAUGAAUAAGCAUCGGCUAACUCCGUGCCAGCAGCCGCGGUAAUACGGAGGAUGCAAGCGUUAUCCGGAUUCAUUGGGUUUAAAGGGUGCGUAGGCGGCUUUUUAAGUCAGUGGUGAAAUCCUGCCGCUUAACGGUAGAAUUGCCAUUGAUACUGAAAAGCUUGAGUACAAUUGAGGUAAGCGGAAUGUGUAGUGUAGCGGUGAAAUGCUUAGAUAUUACACAGAACACCAAUUGCGAAGGCAGCUUACUAAACUGUUACUGACGCUGAUGCACGAAAGCGUGGGGAGCGCACAGGAUUAGAUACCCUGGUAGUCCACGAGGUAAACGAUGAUCACUCGCUGUAUGCGAUACACAGUAUGCAGCCAAGCGAAAGCACCUC